AAAAGUGAAGGCUGGGGCAGGCAGGAUGAGGUGUUUCAUCUUUCCUCCCAGUGCGAGUUUGCACAGUUUUGUUCACCUUGGUCCUCAUUGGCCUAUCGCCACAUGAGGGCACUCUAUAAAAGGGUGCUGUGGCCAUCUUAACCCUCUUUUGCUCCUGG